rnacentral:misc_RNA from 1 species
GUUAAUACUACAUAAACAUAAUUGUCAAGUGGCAACCAUGUGGUUGCACCUGAGGGAGAGUGUUGAGAAUGUCCCAUAUCGGGAAAAUAUGAAAAGGAAAUGGUAAAUAUAAAUGGUUAUGUUGCAACAUUAAAUUGAUUAGUCAUUUGAAUGUUUAAAUCAAUUUACUUACUUAUAUAAGCCCAAAACCAAUCAUAUAUCGGGUUAAUACUACAUAAACAUAAUUGUCAAGUGGCAACCAUGUGGUUGCACCUGAGGGAGAGUGUUGAGAAUGUCCCAUAUCGGGAAAAUAUGAAAAGGAAAUGGUAAAUAUAAAUGGUUAUGUUGCAACAUUAAAUUGAUUAGUCAUUUGAAUGUUUAAAUCAAUUUACUUACUUAUAUAAGCCCAAAACCAAUCAUAUAUCGG